rnacentral:rRNA from 1 species
UACGUAGGGUCCGAGCGUUUUCCGGACUUCCUGGGCGUAAAGAGCUCGUAGGUGGUUUGUCGCGUUGUUCGUGAAAACUCACAGCUCAACUGUGGGCGUGCGGGCGAUACGGGCAGACUAGAGUACUGCAGGGGAGACUGGAAUUCCUGGUGUAGCGGUGGAAUGCGCAGAUAUCAGGAGGAACACCGGUGGCGAAGGCGGGUCUCUGGGCAGUAACUGACGCUGAGGAGCGAAAGCGUGGGGAGCGAACAGG